ensembl:lncRNA
AUGAUGGAAAAUCUGCUCCGAUUGCAUUACAAGGGAAGCUUGGCUGCUCCCACCUGCACUGACUUUUGGUGGGAAUUGGAGCGCGAGUGGACAUUGCUGGAAUUCACACCCAUCCCGACGGGGAUGCGUUUGUCCCAGGGGAACAUUUCCCGUGGGGAUGGGGACAGGGACAGCUGUGGUGCUGAACAGGUGCCACGAGAGGGCUGCGCGGUGCCACCAGAGGUGGCUUGGUGGCCCCUGUCCCCCUCCUUGGUGUCCUUCAAGGGCCAAAGUGCAUCACCCCCCUCCAGGUGCCACCUUCAGGUGCCUCAGCACAACCCCUGGGCUGUCCCCAAACCCACCCCAGGUUUGACCUCCACGGGGAGAGGCAGCUGUUUGAAGCCCACUAAGCUGCCCGUGCAGAGAUUUCCCUCAGUGCCAACUCCUCAUGCCCUAAAGCGCCAUCUCGGACACUUUGUCACCCAGGGUGACCUGGCUGGGGGGGGAUGUGGGGCCACCCCACGUGGCAGGGGUGGGAUGAUGGGGGCUGCACAAACAGGCCCUGCUUCCUCCUCCAGGUGCGGCUGGGAAUCAUUAGGAACUCCCCGCGCCGCCCGAGUGUGGGAACUGGAAGAGAAAGCUGGAGAGAGGCCUUCUUUCAUCUCCCCACUCCCUCCUCCCCCCGCGUCUGCCAAGCCUGGCUUCCUUUUGAAUCCUUUAGCUUGUGCCAAGCGAGGGAGAAGAGGAGGGGGGGAAGAAAGAGAAAAAGGGAAGGGAGGAAAAAAAAAUAAAAAGAAAAAAAGCAAAAAAGCAACAACCGCAGGAAUGCGUCCAGGGAUCUGGCUUCCUUCAGGCUGCCGAGCCCUGAAUACCCCGGCUCCACUCGGGGAGAUGGAGGGGGGCAGGAGUGGGAAAACAAACGGGGCAGCGACUCCACGGGGAGUGCCCAAGGGUGUCGGGGAGGGGGACACCUCCCCUGCUUUGGGGGCUUUGGGGGCACCCCGAGGUGCCACGGGUCCCACGCUGGGAACAAACCUGGCACGUGUGUUUGAACUUCAGCCGUGUUCCACGCCGUGGGGACACAGUGCCCACGUUCCAUGGCCCGUGGGGACACGGUGCCCAUUACACGGUGCCCCAUUCCAUCACCGUGGGGACACGGUGCCCCAUUCCAUCACCGUGGGGACACGGUGCCCCAUUCCAUCACCGUGGGGACACGGUGCCCCAUUCCAUCACCAUGGGGACACGGUGCCCGCAUUCCAUCACCGUGGGGACACGGUGCCCGCAUUCCAUCACCGUGGGGACACAGUGCCCAUUACACGGUGCCCAUUCCAUCACCGUGGGGACACGGUGCCCCAUUCCAUCACCGUGGGGACACGGUGCCCCAUUCCAUCACCGUGGGGACACAGUGCCCCAUUCCAUCACCGUGGGGACACGGUGCCCCAUUCCAUCACCCGUGGGGACACGGUGCCCAUUACACGGUGCCCAUUCCAUCGCCCGUGGGGACACAGUGCCCAUUCCAUCACCGUGGGGACACGGUGCCCGUCCGUGCCCCAGCGUGGAACACGGCACCAGGGCAGUGUGGGAGCCUUUUCUCGGGCACAUCGGGAGAAGGAUGGUUUUUGA